rnacentral:rRNA from 1 species
AUGGACUCGCGUCCCAAUUAGCUAGUUGGUGAGGUAACGGCCCACCAAGGCAACGAUUGGUAGCCGGACUGAGAGGUUGAACGGCCACAUUGGGACUGAGACACGGCCCAGACUCCUACGGGAGGCAGCAGUGGGGGAUAUUGCACAAUGGGGGAAACCCUGAUGCAGCGACGCCGCGUGGAGGAAGAAGGUUUUCGGAUUGUAAACUCCUGUCGUUAGGGACGAUAAUGACGGUACCUAACAAGAAAGCACCGGCUAACUACGUGCCAGCAGCCGCGGUAAAACGUAGGGUGCAAGCGUUGUCCGGAAUUACUGGGUGUAAAGGGAGCGCAGGCGGACCGGCAAGUUGGAAGUGAAAACUAUGGGCUCAACCCAUAAAUUGCUUUCAAAACUGCUGGCCUUGAGUAGUGCAGAGGUAGGUGGAAUUCCCGGUGUAGCGGUGGAAUGCGUAGAUAUCGGGAGGAACACCAGUGGCGAAGGCGACCUACUGGGCACCAACUGACGCUGAGGCUCGAAAGCAUGGGUAGCAAACAGGAUUAGAUACCCUGGUAGUCCAUGCCGUAAACGAUGAUUACUAGGUGUUGGAGGAUUGACCCCUUCAGUGCCGCAGUUAACACAAUAAGUAAUCCACCUGGGGAGUACGACCGCAAGGUUGAAACUCAAAGGAAUUGACG